rnacentral:rRNA from 1 species
AUUGAACGCUGGCGGCAGGCUUAACACAUGCAAGUCGAGCGGAGAUGAGGUGCUUGCACCUUAUCUUAGCGGCGGACGGGUGAGUAAUGCUUAGGAAUCUGCCUAUUAGUGGGGGACAACAUUCCGAAAGGAAUGCUAAUACCGCAUACGUCCUACGGGAGAAAGCAGGGGAUCUUCGGACCUUGCGCUAAUAGAUGAGCCUAAGUCGGAUUAGCUAGUUGGUGGGGUAAAGGCCUACCAAGGCGACGAUCUGUAGCGGGUCUGAGAGGAUGAUCCGCCACACUGGAACUGAGACACGGCCCAGACUCCUACGGGAUGCAGCAGUGGGGAAUAUUGGACAAUGGGGGAAACCCUGAUCCAGCCAUGCCGCGUGUGUGAAGAAGGCCUUAUGGUUGUAAAGCACUUUAAGCGAGGAGGAGGCUACUGAGACUAAUACUCUUGGAUAGUGGACGUUACUCGCAGAAUAAGCACCGGCUAACUCUGUGCCAGCCGCCGCCUGUAA